rnacentral:lncRNA from 1 species
UGUACUUGUAGAUUUUCGUUAGGAAAAGUAAAGAGAAAUUGAAGAGUAUUAUCCCAAGGCGUGUAUGUAUUCAGAAUCUUGCCCUCUGCUUCCCCAUCUCUUGUUUCCUUCAUCUGUAUGGAACUGGGAAUUGUAGGUAUAAUGAGAUUUCUCUCCAUUUCAUUUAAUUUCACCCCAACCAAACUAGUGUUUUACUCAAAGAGGAUUGGAUACACCUCUUAAAUGGUGUGUCCGUGUUGGACACAUGUAUCAAAUACCGACAUUCGUACGACACGCAUCGGUGGAGUGUCCAAUUCAGAAAAUAUUUAUUGAAUUUUUGACAAUUCUAGCAUGUUUUAACACAAUUUUAAAAAUGAGAAACAUUAAUUUUCUAAAAAUCCAAACUUAUUGCAUAAAUUUUUAAUAUAAUUAUAAAAUUAAGGAACAAAUUUUUUGAACUAUUUAUGCAUCUUUCUACUAUAAAAAAAAUUAAAAUAUACUUGUGCACAUAAAUUUUUAUUGUUAAUUUAUAUAAUUUAUAAUUAUAUAAUAUAUAGAUCUGUAUUUCCGUGUCCUACAUUUUAACUUAGAAAUUAUAUGUAUUUUUGUGAUGAUAUUCGUGUAUAUGCUACAUAUGUUUUACUAUUAUAAUGUAGCUUUCUUUUUAUGACCUAAAUUUUAUGGUAUUUAUCCCUCAUUUCUUAUUAUGCCAAGCCUAUCUCUAUCUGUGCAUAGAUAUAGGGAAGAUGUUACAUUUGUUUCUAUUGACAAUAACUCUAAAUCCUUCAAUUAUUCUUUUUAAUGUCUAUUUUUAAUUUGUUUUAUAUUUUUAAAACAUUAUAUAUACGUGUAUAUUACUUCAUUUAACAUUUUCUUUAUAAAAAAAGUAAAUAGGUUAUACAUGGAUUAAGAGGAAUAUAUAAUAUUAAUAUUCUAUUAAAUAACAAAUGGUUUUAAAUCUAAGCACUAUUUUCUUCUAUUAAUUCUUACUUUCUUUUCUAUGAUAAGCAAGUACUUAUUUUGCUUUCAAAAUAUUAAGAAAAAAAAUUAUGAUGGACAGUAUAAAGUGUUAUCACAUUGUUAUUCGAAUAAAAUUCCAUACAUGUUUGUUAUUUUUUAUAAUAACUAUCUUAAAAGUAAUAUCGAAUAGAUUGACAUUUACACUGAUAAUGUGUAUUUAUUAAACAUAAAUAUUAGAUAAAUUCACUUUUUUAUAUAAUAUUUUCAUUAUAAAAUAUUAGAAAGAUUUUGUAAAAUAACUUACUAGACUAGAUAAAAGGAAGAAGAAACACAAAACUCGAGAGGGGAAGCAUGGCUUUUAAAAUUAAAUAGGGUUUUGCAAAAGAAUAUUAAAAUGGACUUAUUAAAAUCAUCGAAUUUAAUUUAAACGUGUCUCUAAAUUAAUUUCAUCCACAAGUAUAUAUAUUAUUAUUAUUCGUAAGAAUUAAACACAAAUACUAAAAGAUGUACAGUAAUUUACCCACACUGUUGAACUAGCCUCUUUAAUAAGUUUUACAUUGAAAUGUAUUUUACAAAGUGUGUACCAAAGUGAGUAAACAUGUAAAACAAAACAUCAAGGUUAUAUUUAGUGUUCAUUUAAAUAAAAAAGUUUCCCAAUUUUAAUUAACUUAAAAUAAUUUUCUUAUAGAAACAAAAAUUAAAAAAAGAAAAUGAGAAAGUUUUUUUAUAUAGGACAAGACAUUAUUUAAGUUUUUUUUUAUAUAAAAAAAAAAUUGUUCGCAUUCGAGAGGUACCAAUAGAACCGCACCUCAGAAGGACGACGCAUGAAGAAAGAGUAAAGCGCAUAUUAAACUGAGUCUGGCACAAACACGAUGCAAGCAAAUCAUGGGCAAUUCUUAGGUCGUUAAAUCUCGUUUCCCGUUUCAAUUUCCCUCUUUCCCUCUCGCAACCUUGUGACGUCUCAUCUUCCAUAAUGUUCCACAACCACAACCACAACAACAGUGUCUCGAUCUCCUUGUCGGACGAGGAAUCCGACGAGCUGGGUCGGAUGCGGAUCCGCGCGCGACGGAAGCGCAAGAAACUCGGCAACAGAAGAUUGCUGCGGAAGCUACUCCUCAGAUACUGGAUGCUGCUCGUCAUUGUUCCCGCUGCGGGAUUGCUCAUAUUCGAGGCCACCAGAAUUGGGCGAAGCUUGAAUAGUUUAAACACGAACAGCCACACUGAAACACACACUGACAGAGCUAAUGGAUCUAGUACCACACCGCGGAAGGAACCCCCCGCCAAUUUGAAUCGCCUCGAUCCUACCACGCAUGUUGUUGGUGGCGUCAGAGAACGUAAGUACCUUUUUUCUCUCUCUGUUUUCAGAUUAGUAAUGAUUAGCGUGAGGUUCGUUAUGUGUGGUUAGCUUUUGUGUAGAGUGAAGGUAUACAAUUGUCGUUUAAACUUCUGCCACUUAUGGGUAAUAGUUUCAUGAGGUUGUUGAAAAAUUCCUAGUGGUGUGCGAUUGACUUUGUCUAAUGAGUGGUUAAAGAGGAAAUGGAUGUGUAUACAACUAUGAAGCUCGGAUUUUUGACAAUUCUAGGAGAACACAAUUUUAAAAAGAAGAAAUACUAUUGUAUAAAAUUUUAUUAUGAUUAUAAAAAUAAGUAACAAAUCCUUUUGAACUAGCCAUAUUUCUUAUGCUAAAAAAAACCUAAACCUAAAACAUACUUGUGCACAUCAAUAGUUAUGGUUAAUUUAUAUAAUUCAUUAUAUAAUAUAUAGAUUUGUGUCCCCUGUCCUGCAUAGAGAUUAUACGUAUUUCCGUGUCUGUGUCGUAUCAAUGCCCGUGUCAGUGUCGUAUCAGUGCUCGUGUCAGUGUCUAUGCUACAUAUGGUUAAAGAGGAAAUGGUUGUGUAUACAAUAGAAAUAUCUGACACUUGUGAUAAAUAUAUUUUAUUGCAAGUGGUUAGCAUGUCAUCAGGGUUAUUGAAAUGUUUCACGGUGACAAGUUUUGCAUAAGUGGUUAAGAGUAAAUGAUUGUGUAUGUUUAUCAACAUCUACUUGUGGCACUAAUGAUUAAAUAUGCCUUCGCUAAUGGUUGAUACUUAAUUGUGUUGCGUGCAUUGAAAUGUUGUAGUUAAGUGUCUCUUGAAAGUGGAUAAUUCUCAGUUGAGAUGUUAAUCUUUUUCAUUUCAAGAUGCAUAGAAUGAGGUGUUGAUGUGUGAUUUGAUCCCUAUCAGGUUGCUUGAAGCUCCUACCUCCUGAAAAGUUUGAGCAGCUGGAUAUACCUGUAGAAGAAGAAUCUUCUAGUGUUCCUGUUGGUGAAGUUUUAUACAUUUCAGAGAGUGAUAGGCCUUUUGUAGGAGGGAAUAUUACGUUGUCUCAUUUGCGUACAGAGGACACACGGUUUAAUUUAUUUACUGGAAAUCAAACAUUUCAGCAGAGAGAUAGAUCUUUUGAGGUAAUGAGUUGGUUUUGGUUCUCAUUUUUAGCCACUUUUCUUUUUGCCUGGCGGUAGUUAUAUGUUUACUCUAGCCUUUGUUUCUUCGUGUAGGUGAAAGAAACUAUGCUGGUACAUUGUGGGUUUUACAGUGUGAAUGGAGGGUUUAAGAUAUCUGAUCAAGAUAAAACUUACAUGCAAGGUUGCAAAGUCGUGGUAUCUACUUGUGCAUUUGGUGGUGGAGACGAUCUCUAUCAGCCAAUUGGAAUGUCCGAGGCUUCGCUUAAGAAGGUUAUUUAAGCAGUAUAAGAGUUUGUCAUCGAUACAUAGUAGAAGUCGCUGAUCUUAUUUGCCAAAUCUAUUUAGUGGUAUGCAGGUUUGCUAUGUUGCAUUCUGGGAUGAAAUCACCGUCAAAGCGCAGGAGUUGGUAGAGCGCAGAAUUGGGGAAAAUGGAUUUAUUGGAAAGUGGCGUGUUGUUGUUGUUCGAGAUCUUCCUUUUUCCGAUCAAAGGUUGAAUGGUAAAAUUCCCAAGGUAGUAAAUCUUUGAAGCCUGGUGUCUUCUUUUUUAUGCCAUUUCCUAUGUCUUUAUAGCAGUGCAUAAUUAACAUGUGGCUGCACUCAGUUUUGUGUCCUGCCCCUUUUGAAGAUAUUUUUUUUUUCAUGUAAAUGCAUGCUCAUAAUGGUUGUUGUCCUUCAUUAACUUCAUCAAUUGACACAUGCCUUUACCAGAUCAAUGAAAAUUUGGUGUUUAAUUGAGUUCAAAGGCGUUGCAUAAUCUAUGCAUCUGACCUCACUUAAUGACACAAGACUUUUGUUAUUGUUGUAUAUGCCUAGCAUGAUGUGUUAUUCUCAAUUAUUCUUUAAUUUGGGGUAUCAUUCUCUGAUAAAGCUUUCCUUUGUUCACUUUUUAAACCAUGUGUGCACUUGGAACUCUUUCAGAUGUUAAGCCAUCGCCUUUUUCCUCAAUCUAAAUACUCAAUUUGGGUAGACUCCAAGUCUCAAUUCCGGAGAGACCCACUAGGUGUGUUGGAAGCACUUCUUUGGCGCACAAAAUCUUUGCUUGCCAUAUCAGAACAUGGAGCUCGCAGUAGUGUCUAUGAUGAGGCUAAGGCUGUUGUCAAGAAGAACAAAGCCAAGCCAGAGGAAGUUGAAGUGCAACUGACUCAAUACAGAAAAGAUGGCUUGCCUGAAGACAAGAGAUUUAGUGGAAAAAAAGGUAUGCACUGAUCAUAUUUUUAUUAGCUAAAAGUAAAGUAAUUUUAAUACUUUUCUUCUUUUCCUCAAUAAAAAAAAUCCAUGUUCUAUUUCAUUUAAGAUCUUGCUAUAUGUCAAAUUGUCUAUAGAUUUCAAUCCUCUCAUUCAUUCUGUUGCCAAACUUUGGCUUACAUUGGUUUGUAUCUCCACAUUUCCCAUAUAUUUUGUAAAAUGUUCCAUUAAACUUGUGAUGUGCAGCUCUCUGUGAAGCCUCUGUUAUCGUCAGGAAGCAUACACCCCUAACUAAUCUAUUGAUGUGCGUCUGGUUUAAUGAGGUGGUUCGCUUCACUUCUAGGGAUCAGCUCAGCUUCCCAUAUGUUCUGUGGAGACUGAAAGCAUUCAAAAACAUCAAUACUUUUCCUGUUUGUGCUCGCAAGGAUCUUGUCAAUAGUAUGGGCCAUGUCCGCAAGGCCAAACCUUUGCGAAGCUGAUUUAGUUAAACUGGUUGAAAGCAAUGCCUACCUACAUUUAUCCAAUUCAUUCCUUAUUUCAGUAGUUUCUUUAGCCAAUCUGAAUCAGGUAUGUGUUGUUUUUCUAACUUCAUCCCCUCUUCUCUCAUGGUCAGUGAAUGAUUAUAAUUUGUAUUCAUUUGCUUAUUGUGAGCUCUUUGAUUAGGUUACUUCAGAAAGAAUCUAGUUGAUCGAAAGAGAAAUCAAACAAAGAAGAGAUUUUGCUUUGGACCUGUUUCCCAACACAAACUUCUAUAGUAACAAUGUUUUCAUGAACUGUGAGAUUCCUGUGUCUGUUAUUUAGUUAGAAUGAAUAAAUGCAGCCCUAUGUGGUUGGUGGCAUAGAUAUUUUGUCAGACAUGUAGCAAUUAUUCCUGGAGAGUCUAUUGAUGGCAAUGAUCAUGUAAGGCAUACAAUGAAAUAGUUAACCAGAGCAGAACUUCGAACCACUGAUGAUGCAACAGAUACCUAUUCAGCUUGAUGAUGCAUUGUGUUGCCACACCUCUGAAACACAUCAGAAAGCAUAGAAAAAAAAAAUCCUGAUAUAGAACAGUUACAUGAUGAGAGGGUUCCAUUUCAAGAUUGUGUUGGGUAGUUUUUUAGGAAUUUUAGUUUCAAUGUUUAAGUAUAUAACAAAAUAAUAAAAUGCUAAAUAUGUUAUUUUUGAAAAAAAAGAGUAAAGUAGCAUCUAAAAAUGGAGUAACAUCUAAAAGUUUUCCUUUUAUCAUAUGUUUAAAAUAAAGUUACACUUUCGCCCUACAUAUAAGAUUAAUAGCUUAAUAUUAAUCUUAAGUUUUAAUAUUACAAUUAAAGAUAAUAGAAAAUAAUGUAUUAUAUUAAUAUUGAUAGUAAAUUUGACAAGGUUCAAGAAUUUUAGAAUAUGUAAAGAUAAUCAUGAUAUAACACAACUUAUAUUUAAAACUAAAUAUGUAUAUAUGAUAUUCCUAUGUAUCGUUUUUGUUCACAUGUGGGUUUUGGUCUAGUCCUUUCAUAUUUUUGUAUUUUUUUUUUAAUAAUACUUUUAUCAUGUGACGGCAGAUGAUUGUUGUUACUUGAAGUGUCAGUCUAGCUGAGAUGUCAAGUUGCAUAAUAAUAUCUAACAUGAAAACUUUUAUAAAAAAAAAUUUAUAUAUAUGAUAUUGUUUUUUAAGUUAAGGAUUGAGAUAUAACACUUGUAAUAUAUUAUAUUAUAGAAUAAUUUGCAUUACUAUGUUUGUAAAUUUGAGUGAAUGCAAGUAAUGAUGUAAUAUAUUUUUAAAUAAAUAAAUAGCUAAAUUUUUAGACAGGUAACAGAACUUCAUUCUACUAAAAAUAAAUAAAAAAAUUCCAUGAGAUAAAUAUUUUACAAACUCAUAAUAAAAAAAUAUUUGUAUACGUAAUUAUAUUUAAAAUUCGUAACUAAUAAUUUAUACAUUAGGAUAUAACGUUAUUUUUAAAAUAAAAGAAUGCUCAAUUAAAACAAUAAAAUAUGCAUCGGAUAUUUUUUUAAUUAUAGGAUUGAGAUAAUACUUGAAAUACAUCUUAAAAAAUAUUCAAGAAUAUAGUUAGUGUGUACUCUGAUUUUAUGUUUGAGAAUUAAUUUUUAGAGAAAAUUUACCAUGUUUUCCUAGAGAUUUUAAAAUAUUUUAUAGUAAAAUAUCUAAGAAGAUUUAGGAAAAAGAUUUAAAUCAUAAAAAUAUAUAUGAAUGUUUUGGUUAUGUGAAACAGUAAAAUUUGAAGUUUUCAAAAUAAAAUAAGAAUUUACAGAUUUUCUAUAAACUGUAUAUUAAAAAAGAUGCUAUUAAUUGAAAUGCAAUGAAAAAAAUAAAAAAUAAAACACUAAUAAUAAAUAUGAACGACACUGUUAAAAAUAUGAAAAACCUAAUAAUAUAAUUUUUAGAAAACCAAAAUAAUAUUACUAGAAUAAUAAUAACAUAUUACUCUAAAUAUGAAAUAGCAAUAAAAGGUCAUAUUCUAAAAAAAAAUAACAAAAGUGUCUCAUUAUAAUAAAAUUAAUAAUAUGAAAAAUAAUUUUAAAAAGAUUAAUUAAGAAAUUAAAUUGAUAAGAUAAAUAAAAAAAUAUUUAUUUAAAUAAAAAAUACAUUAAAAUUUUAUCUAAUGUGUUAAAUAUAAAAUGUUAGACUUUAAUUCAAAUUAAGAUUAAAAUAAUAUUUAAAUUUUUAUUAUUUUGAAUACAAAAAUUAAUGAAUUAUGUCUUAAAAAAUGAAAAAGAUUUAUAAUAAGUUGUUAAAAUUCAUAAAAUAAUAACUAGAUAAAAAAAGAUAAGUAUCUGCGAGUUUUAAAAUUUUAAUUUCACCAUAACCGUCCAAUUUUCCACCCACCGCUUAAUCUCAGCCGACAAUCUUGACUUUCCCUCUAUAUAUACGGCAUUUCGCCAAAAAAAUUUCAUUCGUUCUCUUUGGUGUUGUGGUCUCUGUUAUUUUGGUAUAUGGAUUUUGCCUUAGUUUUGUUUGUAUUGCGCGGGUGAUUCGGUUUUGUUGGUAUUGUUUUGGUGAUUGUUGUGCUUCUUUCUUACCAGUUUCCUUCUUGAUCAAGUUUGUCUAGGGUUUUGGCGAAUUAUAUGAUGUUUGCGAUGGAUUGGUGUGGUUUUCUUGGAUUUUCGGAUUGCUAAUUCAGAAUAACCUAAUUUCUUUUCCAAUUUCCUUUCUAUUAUUUAGCUUCUCUGGUAUUGAUGACCGAUUAUUUUCUUAUGCGUUUAUUCGUGACUGGCUAUUUGAUGUCGGAGACUUAUCAAUUUGGUGUGUUAUUUGUGUUUAUUCCUAUUUGGUGUGUUUAUCCUGAUUUCUCGAUGAGUUUCCUUUCUAUUACGUAAUUUCUCUUGAUUUGAUCACCAAACGUCGGAUUGAAUUUUCAAUUGUUUCUCUACGCAGCGUUGUUUGGAUUAUUUCCGUUUAGUGUUAUCAGCAUCUCAUGGAGCAUGUUAUGAGCGACCGUGUCUCCCUUGGUUUUUUUAAUUCUUAAAUUGAUCUAAUUUUUUAUAAACUGUGUCCUCUAUUACCAGUUAUAGUAUUACCAGUUAUAGUUUUCUUGAAUUCUUGUUCUUUGCAGAGAUGUGAGAGAUGUGUGGGUUAGGAUGUGCAAAACAGUGGCGGGAGAUUCCUUGAACAGUGAAGCAUUAGUUGUUCUUUUUACUCUUACAUUAAUUUUUUCUUUUGCAUUAAUUCUUGAUUGGAUGAACUUUCGGGUUUAUUUUUAUUUUUUUCUUCUUAGGCAUAACCAAAUUUAUAAUGGAAGGCCAAAGAAUCUCCAAUUUUAGGAGAUGAUCAUGACCACUGGAUGGAAUAAUGACAUUUGUUCUUUUAGCAGUUUCUACUAUGGUGAUCUUUAGGGAUAAAUUGAAAAGGGUAACAAGUAUAAGUAAAUUUAUUUUUUUCUUUGAUUACACAUUUGUUGGUUUCUUGACAUUUUGUGAACCCUUUUUUCUUGCAGUGUGAUUGGAGUAGUUUUGGGUCGGUAUUCUAUUUGAACUGGAUUUUGUAUUCUCAAAUUUGCUUUGUGUUUCCACUUCUCGUCGGUCUAGUAUGUUAUUCCCACCGCUUCAUACCAAGCUCUAACUUUAUGCCUGGUGUUCUGUUGAUAUUUCCAUAUCAGGAAUGGUUUGGAUAUGUUUUGAGUACUACGAUCUUCAAUGUGCUGGGGAUUAAACGUGAAAUGGCAACUGCACAAAAUAACAUAAUUUCUUGAAAUGUUUCCUCUACUAUUAUUUAACUUCGCUGGUAUUGAUAACCGAACAUUUGGAUUGAAUUGUGAUUUCUUUCGAUGCAGCAGGUUUGUCUUAAUCGAGCCUUCUGCGAAUACGUCUGCAUUGGUUUUUGUAUUCUUGAAUUUAUUAAUUCAUUUUAUCUUUUCUUAAAUUCUUGGUCUUUACGUGCAAGACAAGCAAUGGAUGUGGAAACUUUAGAAGGAGAUCCUAUGAAGCUUUAGGUUUUAUUACCCUUACAUCUUCUGAUGCGUUUAUAUUUACAUUGACGGAUAUCCAUUUGAAUUUGAAUACAGUUCUUCAUUUGAUUACGUCUAGGUGUUGAACUGUUUAUGUGUAGGUGUUGAACUGUUUAUGUUCAUUCCUUUCUUGCUUGUCGAGAAUCUAAGAUUGGUGGAGGAUUAAAAUCCCGCAGUGUUUACAUCGACCAACGAUUCAGGAUUACCUGAGUUCUUUUGAGUUUUCUUCUAUUUUUGACUUUCGGGAUUUUAUAACCUAAUAUGAUCACUCCUAAUUGUUUUCUUGAAUUGUUCGGCCUUACUGGGAACACAAUCGUGACUGACUUGUGAGCUAGGAUGUGGAAACUUUAGCCAGGGAAUCUGUGAAGCUUUAGGUUUUGCUUUCUUUUCUAUUAUCAUUUAUUGUUUAUGAAUAUCAGACUCUAACAAUAAAAAGUCACCUUAAUUGUCAGAUUUGCUCUUCUUUCUCUUUGAAAUGUCCUCUUGUAUGAGACUUCAUUUGCUGGAUGAGCAUUUAUAAAUUUAAAUGCUUGAUUUUUGCUCAAUCUUAAUCCCUUGCUGAUUUUAAACAGAACUGCUUUCAGAAUAAGAAUUGUUUGAGCGCUAUCAUCUACAUUGAAACGACAACUGCUCAAGAUAACUUUAAUUUCUUCUACUAUUUAACUUCGCUGGACUUGAUCAACGAACAUUAGGAUUGAAUUGUGAUUUGUUUCUCUGCAGAAGUGUUUAUAUUAGAUUCGUGCAGUGUACCUGCAUCUUAUAUAGUCUCUCGGAUCCUGUGGAGCUUUAGGUUUUGUUACCCACACAUUUCCUAAUGUGUUUUAUUUCUGGCAUUUGAUCACCUGACAUAAGGAUUUAACUGCCAUUUGUUUCUUCAGAGGUGUUUCGGUAUCUUUCGUUUCUACAUUUCGUUGGUCUAGCAUCAGUAUAUUUCUCCAGUAGUUCUGCUUGGCCUAGCAUCAAUAUUUCACCAAUAGUUCUGCUUGAUUUGGGUCGCUCUCAUUGAACUGAAGUCCAUCAAAUAUAAAAUGUUAGACAUUGAGUUCAAAUUAAGAUUAGCAUAUCAUGGAGCAUGUUAUGAGCGAUCUUGUCUGCCUUGUUUUUUUAAUUCUUAAAUUUAUAUAAUUUGUUCUAAACUUAGUCCUCUAUUACCAGUUAUAGUUUUCUUGAAUUCUUGUUCUUUGUAGAGAUGUGUGGGAUAGGAUGUGCAAAACAGUGGCAGGAGAUUCCUUUAACAAUGAAACAUUAGUAGUUCUUUUUACUCUUACAUUACUUUUUUUUUCUGUUGCAUUAAUUCUUGAUUGGAUGAACUUCUCGGUUUUAUUUUUAUUUUUUUCUUCUUAGGCAUAACCAAAUUUAUAAUGGAAGACCAAAGAAUAUCCAAUUUUAGCAGAUGAUCAUGACCACUGGAUGACAUUUGUUCUUGUAUCAGUUUGCUCUAUGGUGAUCUUUAGGGUAUCAAUAAAUUGAAAAGGGUAACAAGUAUAGGUAAAUUUAAGAUUGUUUUUAUUACGCAUUUUGUUGGUUUCUUUAAGGUUUUUGUGAACCUUUUUUUCUUGCAGUGUUCGUUCGACUAGUUUUGGGUCUGUACUCUAUUUUAGAAUGGAUUUUGGUGAUCUUUAGGGUAUGAAUACUUGUUAACGGUAACAAGUAUAGGUAAAUAUAAGAUUUUUUUUAUUAUGCAUUUGUUGGUUUCUUCUUGACAAUUUUGUGAACCAUUUUUUCUUGCAGUGUUCGUUCGACUAGUUUUGGGUCGGUAUUCUAUUUUAGAAUGGAUUUUGGUGAUCUUUAGGUAUGAAUAAAUUGAAAAGGGUAACAAAUGUAGGUAAAUUAACGAUUUUUUUUUAUUACGCAUAUUGUUGGUUUCUUGACGAUUUUGUGAACCUUUUUUUCUUGCAGUGUUCGGUCGACUAGUUUUGGGUCAGUAUUCUAUUUUAGACUGGAUUUUGUAUGCUCAAAUUUGCUUUCUGUUUCCACUUUUCCUCGGUCUAGUAUGUUCUUCCCUCCCCUUCAGUGAGUGUGUGGUUGGUUGUUGAUGCAGUAGGUGUCUUCUUACAUGAUUUGGUGAUCUCCACUAUUUAUCCUGAAUCUUGGAUUUUAAUUUGUACUACACACUGACCUCUAUCUUAUUGCUGGUUAUAUUUCUCAAUUUUAAUCCCUUGAUGAUUUGUUCAGUCUCAAAAAAAGCUCUAUAUUAGGUAAAUUUUAUGCCCGGUUCUAUUGUGUGAUCAUUCUGAACUUUUUCUUCUGUGAGUUUUGUUUUUUCCUUAUAUCCGUAUCAGGAAUGGUUCCAAUCUUCUGUGGAGUGGAGUAGUUUGAGCAACAAUAUUAGUUUGCAAUUGGAGGAUUACUCUCGGUACUUUUUAAUAUGAUCUAUACUAGUAUUUCCAAUUUAAUUGGAUAUCUUUUUUCUUAACAGUGCUUUUGGAAUAUAUGUUUGAGUACUACGAUCUACAUGAAGCUGGGUAUUAACAAUCAUUUCUGGAAUAUAUAGCAUAAUUUCUUCUAACUACUAUCAGUUGCCUGCUCAAGAUAAACUAAUUUCCUCUACUAUUAUUUAACUUCGCUGGAGUUGGUAACCGAACAUUUGGAUUGAAUUGUGUUUUCUUUCGCUGCAGCAGUUUUGUAUUAAUUUUGUGUACUGGGUGUGGAAAUUUUAGAAGACAAGUUCCGAGAGUUAUUGGCGUGGAAACUUUAGCAGGAGACCCUCUGAGCUCUAGGUUUUGUUACCAUUACAUUUUCUGAUGCGUUUUUUUUUUGCAAGGAUAUCUAUUUUGAAUUUGCGCGUCGAAAUAAGAUUGUUCGAGUAUUAAAAUCCUAAAUUUGUUUUUUUGGGAUUUGAUCACCUAACAUACAUGAUCACUGAAUUGUCAUUUGUUCCACCAUUUAUCUCAUCGAGCAUGCUGAAAGAUGACAUCUCCUUUUGAUGCUGUUUCCUUUUUGUUUUGAAGUUGUCUUAUUGUUUCUAUUCUUAGUCUUUUGAUUAGUGAAAUCUAUCAAAUCUAGCUGUUUGAUCUGUGAUUAUGUUCAUUCCUUUUCAGGUUAAAAAAUAAUUCUAAUGUUGAGGGGUAAUAUAAUUUUUUGGAUGAGUUUCCUUUCUGUCAUUUAAUAUCUUUGGACUGGAUCAUCAAAUAUAAGGAUUCAAUUGUGAUUUGUUUUCCGCAGCAAUGUUUGGUGGAUUUGUUUCGUGUAACAUUCCUCUCAUCGAGGAAAUCUUACAAGUGAAGACAUCUCCCUCUGAUUUUUCUACUUUGUAGUUUUCUUCAAUUUUUGGGCCUUACGGGGAAGACAACCAACUGAUAUGUGAGCUAGGAUGUGGAAGCCAGGGGAUCUGUGAUGCUUUAGGUUUUGUUACCCUUGCUUUUCUUAUGUCUUAAUCUUUGACUAGUUAAACUUAUGAUGCUUUAAUUUAAAGUCUUGUGUGAUUUAAUUUUGUAAAAGGGAAAGAGAAGAUAUGAGGGAAACAAAAUAUCAUGGCCAUUACAGUUUUGUCUCGAAGCUAUUUUUAAUUUAGACCUGCCGUUUCUCGAAGCUAUUUUUCUCAUCGCAAAAUUUAAUCCUCUUACUUUGCUUUCUUUUGUAUUUUCAUUUAUUGUUUAUGAAUAUCAGACUAUAACAAUAGUAAGUCACCUUAAUUGUCAGAUUUGCCUCUCUGAAUUGCUCAAUCGUAAUCCCUUGCUGUUUUUAAACAGCACUGUUUUGGAAUAGGAUUUGUUUGAGCGUGUUAUCAUCUACAUGAAGCUGGAACGUGAAACGGCAACUGCUCAAGAUAACCUUCUACGAGUUCGCCGGACUUGAUCAUCUAACAUUAGGAUUGUAUUCCUCUCUAUUAUUAUGUUUCUCUGCACUCGAUCACCGAACAUAAAGUUAUAAAUAAUUUGCGCCUAUUAACAUUUAUUUGUUUUUAUUUCUUUUACCCUUUUGGGAUCUUUUUUUUUGUACUACAGUGAUCCUCCUUUAAAUUGACAUAAAAUGGUGGUUGAAUAUAGAAAGAAAAACUCUUGCUAUGGAUAGGUCUGCAUCUUUGGAAGGUUAAAUUUCUUAUGCCGUAUUCCAAAUUCUAUUAAAAUUUCUCUCAAUG